rnacentral:rRNA from 1 species
CAGCGCCACGAGUGGCAAUCAUUUUUAUUUGGCCUAAAGCGUCCGUAGCUGGUUGAGUAAAUCUUUUGUGAAAUCGUUGGGCUUAACUCAACGGCGUGCAGGAGAGACUGCUAAGCUAGGGACCGGGAAGAGUCAGAGGUAUGCUGUGGGGAGCGGUAAAAUGCUAUAAUCCUCAGUAGACCACCUAUGGCGAAGGCAUCUGACUGGAACGGGUCCGACAGUGAGGGACGAAAGCCAGGGGAGCAAACCGGAUUAGAUACCCGAGUAGUCC